GCGAAUUUCAGCAGUAAUCAGACGUUGGCACGCCGCCGCCUGGCAGUUUCCGCCCGGCUGUGAGCUGAGUAGUAUGAGUGAAGGGUACAAGCAGCAAGUAAGGACUGCCUGAUGACUGGCAGAGAACUUGUGAGCCUUCUUCAAAACACAGCUAAGAUCCAGGAGACUGAGGCCUUCAAGAGAGACCUGAUUCACAAUCCCACUUCUUUGUGUCUUGGCUUUACAGGCAGGGGACCAGAGCUUCUCAUAUAGCCAUUCAUUAAUCCUUGGUUUAAGAACAACACUUAUUUUCCUCAUACUUGUAAGUGCAGUUAUCAGCACUGCCAAGACUGAAGUUAAAUGAAACAUUCAUUAUCCAUUUGUAGAAAGCCUUUCGAAACUAGUAUGUGAACUAUGCUGAUCCACUAUCCACAGAGGUCAGUGAGGUGACAUGACAGGAAGCCAAGGUCAGGAUACUGUUCAUACAUACAAACACUUGUACUGUCAUUUUUAUCGCUAGAUUAUCACCAUCUGCUCAUGAAGCGUCUACUUAGUGAAUGUACCAAUCACCCCACCACUGUUGCUUCACCACUCUUCAAACAUUCAACCAUACAUCAGUCCAGAUCUGCAGCCUGAACAGUAUAAAUCCAUUUUACUGUCUCCUGCACUUUCCUUCUUCAUGAUCAAAGAUUUAUUUAACUAAUAUUCACAUCUUUCUCUAUUCUUAUGUAACAAUCUAAAGCUGCCUAUCCUCUUCUACAUUCAGCAAUCCUUCAAAAUGCUCUGCCUAUCUCUUACUUGCUGCAUCCUUCUCAAUCAACAUCCUGCCAUCCUCUGCUCUCAUGCUCUCUUCUUUCCCUGAUGUUCCUUUUGCACCCUCUUCACCUCCUUCUGAAAAAUUAUCAUUUACCAGAAAAUUGUCAGUGACCUAUCCCACCUCUCUGCACCUAUUCUUGCAUCAUGCACAACUCUUUUGCUUAACUUCUCUUCUCUCUACAUCUCUCACAUGACCUCUCAACUCUUCUGCAGUCACACUUCAUAUGCAUGUCUAUUUUUCAUCAAUAGCCACAUAUAUUUUUCUCUCCACCAUUCACUUCCUUUUCUCACUCCAUACACCUUUUCUGCACAGUUCUAAACAGCUGCCAUUCUUCCUUCAAAUUGCCAUGACCUCACUCCCUGCAUUCUAUUUACUUUUCAAACAUCUGAGUGAUAAAGUAUCAGAACAUGUUGGAAAUCUGCUUAUUAGGAUUAUGUUAUGUUAUUGAAAGCUUAAAAGUGAUAAGUAACUGGUGACUUGUGGAGCCAAGAUCCCUAGAUGUAUUUUAUGAGUGUUAUGGUGCUGAUAUACUAGGUGAAUCAGGAUAAAUCAAUCAGUAAUAAGUCAAACUGCUGAGUCUGCACUUGUGGAAGUGUGAAUCAGUUCCGGAUUUGCUACUGCAACAUAUUUCAUGCAGAAUGGUGUUUAGCUUUUAUGGAAGUAAUUCCACAGAUGCAAACCUGCCCACAAAACAAACUUCAUUAAUGAGUGUUUCCCUCAAGAGAGUGUCUGUGGCUUAAGAGCCUCACUGUCCGAACACUUCCUUCCUGCUUGUCCAGUGUUCUGCCUAGCACCACCUUCUGGCGUGCAUGUCCUUACUUUAUCUUUCCACCUUCCAAGUGGCCUAUAAGGGCCUUUGGGUAUAUUAGACGAGUGCCGUGUGAAAAGACACUCGUAUCAUAUGGUUGAUUUGGAAUACUGUGAAUCCAUGAUAUAAUAAUCAAAUUGUGGGAAAAGCUAAUUUGCUACAUCUGGAAGUUUACAUUUGACAGUUAUCAUGGCAAAUGCUAUUGGUGAACUUGGGUAAUUCCAUAAGACCCUGGUGAUACAGGUCAGCCAUUGGGUAAAGGUGUGUGUGUGUGUGUGUGUGUGUGUGUGUGUGUGUGUGUGUGUGUGUGUGUGUGUGUGUGUGUGUGUGUGUGUGUGUGUGUGUGUGUGUGUGUGUGUGUA